AUUGAACGCUGGCGGCAUGCUUUACAUAUGCAAGUCGAACGGUAACAGGCCGCAAGGUGCUGACGAGUGGCGAACGGGUGAGUAAUGCAUCGGAACGUGCCCAGUCGUGGGGGAUAACUACUCGAAAGAGUAGCUAAUACCGCAUACGAUCUAUGGAUGAAAGCGGGGGACCGUAAGGCCUCGCGCGAUUGGAGCGGCCGAUGUCAGAUUAGGUAGUUGGUGGGGUAAAGGCUCACCAAGCCAACGAUCUGUAGCUGGUCUGAGGGGACGACCAGCCACACUGGGACUGAGACACGGCCCAGACUCCUACGGGAGGCAGCAGUGGGGAAUUUUGGACAAUGGGCGCAAGCCUGAUCCAGCAAUGCCGCGUGCAGGAAGAAGGCCUUCGGGUUGUAAACUGCUUUUGUACGGAACGAAACGGCUCUGGUUAAUACCCGGGGCUAAUGACGGUACCGGAAGAAUAAGCACCGGCUAACUACGUG
rnacentral:rRNA from 1 species